rnacentral:lncRNA from 1 species
CUGCGUGGUCCCUGGCGCCAUUUGGCUUUUGACGUGGGUCUGAGCCAAGGAAUAAAGCCAGCAUCCCUGGCGGUUGUUCCGCCUGUGCCGGGCCUCCUGCCUCCUGCUCCCCGGGGCGGGUAGUGCAGCGCGCAGAGCCGUCGCGUCGCCACUGUCCUCUGGGUGGCCCCAGCGCGCACCGUUCAUUGAGCCGUGGAAGGUGAGACGAGAGGAGGCUGGUGCUGAGCUCGCCAACUCCACCCGGGCCCGGGCAGACAAAAGAGACCGGCGGUACAGCUCGCGGGGACGCGAUGGCCGGGCGCGGAGGACGGGUGCUGCUGGCGCUGUGUGCCGCGCUGGUGGCCGGCGGGUGGCUGUUAGCGGCUGAAGCCCAGGAGCCCGGGGCGCCAGCGGCUGGCAUGCGGCGGCGCCGGCGGCUGCAGCAGGAGGACGGCAUCUCCUUCGAGUACCACCGCUAUCCCGAGCUGCGCGAGGCGCUGGUGUCGGUAUGGCUGCAGUGCACCGCCAUCAGCAGGAUCUACACGGUGGGGCGCAGCUUCGAGGGCCGGGAGCUCCUGGUCAUCGAGCUGUCUGACAACCCCGGGGUCCAUGAGCCCGGUAA